UUUUCCUGGAAACCAGGAAAGGGAAUAACAUUCGAAAUGUAUAUAAGAAAUACUCAAGUUAAUUAAAAAAAAGUUUCCCAUUAAAAUGUUCUAAGUGAAAGCCACAAGUUUCUAUACUCUUUAUUACAUCAGUAGCUUUUUAGUGUAUUUUUCAAGUGAAAACCAGUCUUCAACUGGUACCCUUUAAAACUUCAGGAGCUCCUUCCAGUACCUGAUGGAAUUAGGAUGCCCCAUUCUGUGUGGGGUGUUUUCAGCAAAGGCCCCUGUAUUGGACUCAUGACUGCUAGCAUUUGUUCCAUCCGGAAGACCUAGUUUUACAGGAAUGCCCCCAAAAUUCACUCUUCCAUCCUCUCUGACUCUGCUCAACAGCAGCACUGGAGCCUUGGAGGCUAGGAUGCUGGUUGAUUUUAAGCAACUCUACAAAAUGUGGAUAUAAUCUGGGAAAAGUGAAUCACAGUAGAGGUAUCUUCUCCAUCACAUUGUCCUGAGGGCAAGUCUGAAGCUCAUUUUUUUGUGAUUGAUGUAUAAUUGCCCUGCUAAGUGUAAAAGACAAAAGAGAGAACCCCAAAUGGUCCAGCAUGAUGAAUGGGUAAACAGAGUUUAUCAUAUUGAUACAAUGGACUAGUCUCUAGAGAUGGACAGAGGCAUUGACAGUAUCUUAUGAUAAAAGAAGCUAUUAUUUAAUGACCAAGAAAGGGGAUAUUUCUAUAUUAGAUGACUUCAUUUUUGUUAAAUACGCAAAAUGACCUGGUUCGUGGGGGCAUAGAAAUUUAUCCCAGCACUCAGGAAGCAGAGGCAUGUAGAUUUUCACGAGUUUGGGGCCAGCCUAGUCUACAGAGGUAGAUUCAGGAGAGCCAGAGCUACACACACUCAAACACACACACACACACACACACACACACACACACACACACACAGACAGAGAGAGAGAGAGAGAGAGGGAGAGAGAGAGGGAGAGAGAGAGAGAGAGAGAAAGGGGGUGGGCAGAGACAAACUUUCUUGAAAAUCAACCAAUUACUCACACAAGGAAUCACUUAAACAAACAAAAACCUCAAAAAACCAGACACCAAAAAACCAAUCAAUCUAUCAAACAAUGUCAGAAGCAACAGCAGCAGCAGCAGCAGCAGCAACAACAACAACGACAACAACAACGACGACAACAUCUACACCAAAAACCAACCGAAUGAGACCAAAUGUUAGAUUGGAUUGCAGCCAGUUUACUCCUUAACUCAAAGCAUCCAUGAAACCCAGGCACAUCAUGGGCUAUGGUGUGCUCUACACAUCCUGAUCUUAAGUUCCUAUACUUAAAGUAACACUUCUGUCAUUAAAGAGGGAUAGGCUGAGCUGGUGCCUAACAAGUUGAUAGGGGGUAGGAUCUGGAGGAAUAAAGAGUACCUUCUAAUGGCCACAGAGUUUUCUCAAACUUAAAAUAUUUUUAAAACCAAUAGUAUAAGGGAUGCAUAAUUUAAUGACAUAGUAAGAAUGCACUCCUAGAUUAUAUACUUGAAAAAGAUGAAUUUGCUGCAUAAGUGUAUUACAUACCUGUAAACAUGUUAUUAUUGAAAGAUAAUGCUUCUUUCACAUGUAUGAAUGUUUUGCCUACGUGUCUGUGUGUGCACUAUAUGUAUGUCUGGGCCUGUGAAGAUAUGAGAGUUCUAGAUCGCCUAUAAUUAGAUUUGAAGAUGCCUUUGAGCUUCUUUGUAGGUGUUACUGUAGGUUUCAGGGUUUGAAGCUGACUGAUGUUGAGGAUUACCUUUGCCCUCCAGUAGCAGACAGGUUACCUUCCAGUAUUAUGAACUCUGGUUAGUAGUGUGAAGAGUCUAGUUAGACCCCGGCUCAACCUAUCCCUCCCCCCCCUGUGAUGACAGAAAUGUUAUCUUCAGAAGUCAGUCCUGAACAUCAGAUUGUGUAGAGCAACCAAUAGUCUUGGCACUGGCUUGUGAUGGUCAAGGUUUUCUAUAGGACCCUUUGGGUAAUGACUCAACAGGUUGUCACCCAUUCCUGUUGCUGGAUUUGUAACUUGGUGGCACAAGAUGUCUAGGUGGAGCCUCGUGUCAUGUUAGUUUUUGGCUCCAUAUGUAUUCCAUACAUAUAGGAAGCUAAUAGAGUAGCAGAUUUCCAUUUAAUUUUUUCAAAGGGACUUUAGUGUUUGUUGUCCCUCCCCUUAUUUCCUACUUUACCUAGGCUUGCAUACCAGGGCUGUGGGUGCCUGGUUAAGAAAAAGAAACUGACCCUCUUCCUUAUCAAGUAUGAAUCUGUAUGCCCAUUCCAACAUGCAGCCAGCAGGUGACCAGGAUACACUGGAGAGAGUGAUCAACUCCAGUCAACAUCAUGUUGAUGAAUAUGAAAGGAGGGUAAUGGGGCUUGAAAAAUGCGAGGGAGGUAGAAGUGUGUACCCUUUGCCUCUACCCAUUUCUCCCGGUUCCCUCUCAUUAACCCCUCCUAUUCUAGCUUUUAUCUCUUCCCAACACUAUACACUCCUUCCUCUUCCUGGGGCGAUAUUCUUCUGCUCCCUAGUUCCCUAGUAGAUAGUCAGGAAUCCUGUGUGGUUAUCCAGAUUGUAGUUCUCAUAUCAGAUACUUAAAACCUAACAUCCUUAACAGCAGACACAUGAAAUGUUUGUUGUUUUGGGUCUGGGUUUGCCAAAUCAGGAUGAUUUUUUUAGGUCCAUCAGGCCAGUCUUAGGGUUACAGAUUGCAAUGGCUGCCCUAACUGCCCUCAGUACUCCCUUUGAAGGCCAUGCAAAUAGAUCUACUUCAGCGUCAACAUUGACAGAGCUUUGAACAAGCACUGAGGGGGCUGGGCUCCUAACAGUGGAGUCUGAGGGGGGCACACAUGGAGCAUAAGCAUAGGGUACAGUCCGUAAGCCAGCUCCAUUGUGAGCUCAGAGCAUGUCACUAUGGUGGUGCCAGUGCAGCUGUGUUACUAGGUGAUGAAGUAUAGUUCAGUUAACCCUGAACGAGCAGGUCUUGCCUACACUUCUUUGGCAAGAAUUGGUGAUUUUAGCAAACUCUUAUCGUAUAAUUUGGGAGGUGGAGAUUAGCUAAAUGGGAGGGAAGAGAGGGUAAGAAGGUCCUGGGUGGCCCUAGCACUCCAUAAUGGAGGAAGAUUUUGAAUAUGAUGCUCUGGCAUUGAAGUUCCCCAGAAGGGGACGCUGGUACACCCGUCUGUGGCGCUCCUGUCCUGGUUUUGGAUGCCUGCGUCAAAAGAAAACGACGAAAUUUCCCCUCUAUCUGAUCGGGUAUGAUCCCGUGGGUCGAUUACAAACAGCGGCCUGUGUUGGGGACGUGGAGAAAAUUGAAAGUAUGAUCCAUGAGUGUCAUCAUCAUGUGGAUGAAUCUGAUUGGAGGGGCAGGUAAUGGGGCUUCAAAUUGAUGAGGGGAGUAAAAGGAGGAGGGUAGGAACUGUUAGGGACACUCAGGGCUAAGGAGGAAGACAAAUCAACUUCCAGGGCUACAAUCUGAGGGUAGAGAGUGGUCAUACAUAGGCUCAUUUUCACUGGGGACCCCUGGGUUUUAUACCUGCUAAAUGCUCUUAGUCGUAUGAGACCUCCACACUGUGGAACAGCAGCUCCUAGGCCUUAAUGAAACUACAUAAUUUUAUUCUUAUGUUAACCCUUACAUUUUGUAAACAUACAAAAAGACACACACACUCACACACAUAAAUACCGUUGUUUUGCCUCUGUGUAUUUUCUGUGUACCAUUGUGAUAGAACCUGGUGCAGGAUCCCCUGGAACUGCAGCUAUAGACAGUUGUGAGCUGCCCUGUGUGUCUUAGCAAUCAAACUGAGUUCUCUACUAAACAAAACUAGAGCUGUUAUUGCCAAGACCCCUAUCUAGAUUUUCUUUCUUCUUUGUUGUUGUUUUCUGUUUUUUCAUUUUUAUUAGAUAGUUCAUACAUUUACAUUUCAAUGUUAUAUCCUGUCCUGCCUCUUCCAUCCCACUUCCCACUCCCCCUGAUUCUAUGACGACUUUCUUAAUACAUAAUAUGAUGCAAUAUAAUAAUGUAUAAUAUAAUAUAAUGUAUAUGAUACAAUAUAAUAAUAUAGUAUAAAAUAAUAAUGGAUCAAAGACAUUUAGAACUGGAACUGUGACCAUGCUCCCAUGUAAUCACCUUCUGUACUGUUGUUUUUACAUCGAUACACAUGUGAAGGACAGAGAUUGUCCUCAUCUCACUUCCUGUGCCCCACACGUGUGGAGCUUAGGGUGUGGUGGUCAGAGACAAUGUCGACUGCUAGUUAUGUUGUACCACCAUGGGGUUCUAAGGCCUGAGCUCAGGCAAGCAGGCCUCCCUGUGGGUUCCAGCCCAUCGUCCCUCUGUUCUGGAGACUCCACUCAAGCAAGUCCAUGGUGUGCUUUAUUUACUGUCUUGGAGCACACUGAUCCUCACACUUGUAGGCAAGUGACCUUUGCGGAUCCCCUUAUCCCAAGAUCAGCAGUCAGGUUUUCAGGACAAAUGCUUUACCAGUUGAGUUUUAACAACUACCCCAGCCCCUCAUUCCUUUUUCUCUGUGUGUGUGUGGGUUCUUACCAUGAACCCCCUUGCUCAUCGUCCCUCCUCCUCUUAUAUGAGGGUUCACCCCCACCCGUUUGCCCACUCCUUCCGGAUUCCCUGCCUUAGCAUUCCGUUCCACUGGGGCUAGAGCCUUGGCAGGACCACGAGCUUCUCCUCUUAUUGGUGCCCAACAAGGCCUCCUCUGCUACAUAUGCAGUUGAAGCCAGGGGUCUUUCCAUGUGAACUCUUUAGAUGAACGGAUAUCUGGGUUCUCUCCAGCUCCUGGCUAUUGUAAAUAAGGCUGUUGUGAAUGUAAUGGAAUAUGUUUCUUUGUUUUAUGUUGGAGCCCUUUUUGUGUAUAUGCACAGGAGUGUGUAAAGCUGGGUCCUCCAAACAGAUUUCCAGAGUUGUCCCAGCUUGCUCUCCCACCUACAAAGGAGGAGUGUUCCUCCUUCUCCAAAUCCUCGCCUACCUCUGUUGCCUGAGUUUUGAUCUUAGCCAUUCUGACUGGUGUGGCGUUGAAUCACAGGGUGAUACUGAUUUGCAUUUUCUCUGAUGACUAAAGAUGUUGACCAGUCCUUUAGGUUCUUUUUGGCCAUUUGAUAUUCCUCAAUUGAGAAUUCUUUGUUUAGCUCUGCUCCCCAUUUUGUAAUAGAGUAAUUUGAUUCUCUGGAGUCCAACUAUUUGAAUUCUAUGUGUAUAUUGGUUGUAAGCCUUCUAUCAGAUGUAGGAUUCAUAAAAAUCUUUUCCAAUCUGUUAGUAGCCAUUUUUUUCUAAUGACAGUACUCUUUGCCUUACAGAAGCUUUGCAAUUUGAUGAGGUCCCAUUUGUUGAUUCUUGAUCUUGGAGAAUAAACUAUUGCUGUUCUGUUCAGGAAAUUUUCCCAAGUAUUCCAGGCUCAUGUAUUCUAGGCUCUUCCCCAUGUUUUCUUCUUUUAAGUUGAGUAUAUCUGGUUUUAUGUGGAGAUCCUUGAUUUGCUUGGAUUUUAACUGUGUACAGGGUGAUAAGAAAGGUUUGAUUUGCAGUCUACAUGCUGAGUGCCAGUUGAUUCAGCACCAGUUGUUGAAAAAGCUAUCUUUUUCCCACUAGAUGGUUUUAGUUCUUUUGUUAAAAAUCAAGUGACCAUAGGUAGGUGUAUGGGUUCAUUUCUGGGUCUCCUAUUCUAUUCCAUUGAUCUACUUGCCUAUCGCUGUACCAGUAUCAUAACAUUUUUAUCACUAUUGCUCUGUAAUACAGCUUAAGGUUAGGGAGGGUGAUUCCCCCAGAAUUUUUUUUUCUUGUUGAGUAUAGUUCUCAGGAUCCUGUUUUUUUGUUAAUGCAAGUGAAUUUCCAAAUCGCUCUUUCUACCUCCAUUGGGAAUGGAGUUAGAAUUUUGAUGGAGAUUGCGUCGAAUCAGUAGAUUGCUUUUGGACAGAUGGCCAAUUUUAUAAUGUUAAUCCUGCCAAUCUGUGAGAAUGGGAGAUCUUUCCAUCUUAUGAGAUCUUCUAUUCUUUCUUCAGAGACUUGAAGUUCUUACCGAACAGGAUUUUCACUUGCUUGGUUAGAGUCACACUGGGUUAUUUUAUUUUAUUUGUGAUUAUUCUGAAGGUGUUGUUUCCCUAAUUCCUUUCUUAGCCUAUUCAUCCUUUGAAUAGAGAAAGGCUACUGAUUUGUUUGAGUUAAUUUUGUAUCCAGCCACUUUGCUGAAUUUGUUUAAGGGGGCAUCCUUGACUACUCCCUGAUUUUAGUGGUAUUCCUUCAACUUUCUCUCAAUUUAGUUUGAUGUAGGCUAUUGGUUUGCUGUAUAUUGCUUUUCCUAUGUUUAUAGUAAGCUUUGAAUUCCUGAUUUUUCCAAGACUUUUAAAGGUUAGCACCUCAUUCUUAUAUCCUGUCUUUAUGGUUGAAGGGGAAUCGAUGACACACCAGCAUAUUUUCCCUAGUUCACAUGCUUCUUGAUCAUUUUGUUAUUCUAAGAUGUUAAUUAGUCUUUAAGGUGGAGCUUCAUGUAAAGAAUACAAGAAUGAAGUUUAGUUUUAAAAUAUUCUUCUGUUCAUUGAAUAUUUUCUUUAAAAACACUGAAUUGUCCAAUGGUAAUUUUUCAUUCUGUCAGUCCAUUUAUUCCCCACAUGUAACUUAGAUAUCCCCUGUGUAGAAUACACGUUCUAAUAUCUCUCAAGAUCUUCCCAUUUGUAAAACUUCAUUUCUCUGCCCAGUCAAGCUUCCUUACAUUCUAUAAAUUUAAAUAUAACAUGAAAUGAACAUUACUCUUUGGAACCCUUCUUUCAUUUUACUGAACCUCUAUGAAUCUCAAGCAAGGCAGCUAUGCCACCAUAGGUUAUUACCUUGUAGCAAUAUUUACCUGAUUUUGGUGUGAGUCCAUGGGCACAUUGAUCAAUAUACGGCAAAGCAUGAGGUCCUGGUUUCUAUACCGAGUAUAGAAGUGUUACAUAUGGGCAUAAAAAAUGAAAUGUGAAAAUAAAAAUAAAAGAAAGUAUUGAGGACUGAGGGCUUAUAUUUUGUUCACUGUUAAAAAUGUACAUAGAUGCAAGUGACCGGUAAAAUUGCCACUUACCUGUUGAUUGUGACAUAUUUUGUUUAAUGUAGGCCACAAUGGGUUGCAUGAUAAUUACCUUUAAUUUUGUAAAGUGCUAAAAGUAUUGCUAAUUAUAGUUGUAAAAUAAUAAAAAGGAUAAAUGACCUUCCAUUCUUAGAGAGGGUAAAAUGUGAAUGAAAAUGAAGGUAACCACAAUAGAUAAGAUAGGAGGAUUAAGAAAUGUAAACUUCUUUUAUAUGAAUUUUUUUAUGUGUACUGCUGAUAAAAUCCUGUUUUUCUCUCACAGAAUAGUUCUGUUUGUUAUCACUAGGAAGAGAAAUCAUUACCAUGAUCAGGAAAUGCUGAGCUCUCAGGAGCUGGAAAUGCUUGUUGUGUUGUAGCAGAUUUCUUCCCCAUUCGAACUGAAACAUCAGAGUAGCCCCUAUUAAGAUAUGUUUAAUGUUCAUCCCUUGGAUGGGGACAUGGAGUCAUGGAGCUCCUGAAAAUACCGAGGAGUAACUAGUAAGUUCCAGAUAUUAGAGUAUGAGUUAAAUUCAAGCUGAGAUCAAUUUGGGAACUUUUCUAGGAUUCAGACAGGCUGCUUUGAGCAGCGAAGAAGGUCAGGAUAGAACACCUGCCUUAAAUAGGAAGAGUCAUGUACCAUAUCCCUAGCACAGUAAAUGAACAUUCGAGUAGACCUCAAUAAAUAAGAACAUUGUAGUUACUUUCUUCCAUCAGAUAGAAAUCACCUUCAUAUUAUGUAGUACUUACAGGUGAUGAUAGUCUUACUGGGAAUUCAGAGAUGUUGCUAAAUGUGUUUUCAAUUUGCAGGACAUCGCUGCAUUAUGCGAGUGCCCACAACCAUCCAGAUGUAGUGACACUGUUAUUAGAAAAUAAGUCCAACAUUAACAUCCAGGAUGAUGAAGGCUGCACACCGUUGAUUAAGGUAGCUAUUGGCCAUCUGUUUUGGUAUGAAAUGGAUUAGAGGUGUCCUUGUUUGGUUUCUGUUGUUGUGAGAAAACACAGACCAAAACUUACUCAGGAGAGGAAAAAGUUAUUUAGCUUACAUUUAUUCAUCCCAGUUGAUCCUCAUGGGAAACCUGGUCAGGAACUCAAAUAAGGAACUGGGGGGAAGAACUAAACUAGAGAUCAGGGGAGAAUGCAGCUUUCCAUGGCUUUUACACAGGUUUGGUCAGCUUUUUUUUAUACAACUUUGAACUCAGGCAUGCCCCUACCACAAGACCUUGGGCUUUCCUACUUCUGUCUAAAUAAAAAAAAAUAGUUCCACACAGUGCCCCAGAGGCCAGUCCAAUUCCUCAAGUGAGGAUCUUUCCAGGUGUAUUAAGCAUGUAUCACAUUGGCAAAAAGAACAAAAUCUAAGCAAACAAGCAAUCUCUGCAUUGUGACAGCCAACCAGCACAGACCUGAGUGCUUAGGACAUCUAGGUGGGUUGGUAGAACCCCUUAAUUCUACCACUUGGAAAAAGAUGUGGUGGGGAGAUCAUUAAAUGAGUCAAGCCUGGAGUAUUUAAGAAGACCUUGUGUCAAAAUGGAGGGAAAAUAUGAAUAACUAAAACUCUGUCUGAUUUCAGAGAAACUAUUCAGUGCCAUUGUAGAAAUGUCUCCCUUGGCUUCCUUGAAGUGAAGAUGUAUUUCUUUGUACAAUUUCCACAGGCUGCGCAGCGGGACAACACACAUUGUGUUUGUGUAUUGCUCAGGCACAAUGCUAAUCCAAAUUUGAUGGAUUACAGUGGGAAUACAGCCUUUCACCAUGCCAUUUCCAGGGGCAGCAUAGCAAUUGUAAAGAUGCUCCUGGAGUACAACGUAGAUAUUGAAGCCAAAACAGAGGUAAAGGUCAUUCAACUUCAUUCCCAAUGCACUUCUAGCUACUUCUAGCUGGGACACUCAGACCUAUUUUCUACAUGCAGAACCUCAAGCAUUCUCACUGAAUGUGUUCAGAGGAACGCUUUUUCUCUUUAAAUAUGUGUGUGUGUGUGUGUGUGUGUGUGUAUUUAUAAUUAGUGCCAAAAAACCCACAGAAUAGCAUAUUUUGUCUCAGCGUUGACUUUAAGUUUGAAAUUCAAGAUUAUAGGCUUUAGGAUUACACACAGACACACACAGACACACACAGACACACACAGACACACACACACAUACACACACACAUCACAUCACAUCUACACCAACAAGAAAAAGAAAUACAUUUCAAGUUUAAUGAUUAUAGAAUAUAUAGAACUGGGUUGCUGCUAAGAAGGUAUUGAUGUGUGUUUGGCUCAGGGAUGAGGGCAGACUGGGAAAGGAGAGAGGUGUCAGGCAAAUUAGAAAAUCUGAUCAUUGAGAAAAUAUACAAAACAUUUUUAUGAUUUUCAAAAGUUUUGGUAUUCAUAGAAGAUGCUAUUGCCCUUGGGAGAUAAUUUUUAGUUUAGAAAAGAAAUAUAUUUGGAGUGCAGAUUGAGAAACUCUGCUCCAGAUACCUCUUGAGCACACUCCUUCAACAGGGGCAUACCAAACUUUAUAUUUUGGGGUUGUGUCCAUGGAGGUCCUAGUCUUUGGAGCUAAGAAGAUUGGAACCAUUGAGUGUUUGGGGAAAAUUCUGGAAGGGAUUGGUGUUCAUAUGCAGUGUUGUGUAGACAAAAGAUGUGUCAAAGGGAAGAAGAGAGCUGUGUGUGGAAAGCACAGCAGGUGUUGUAGGAAAAAUGAUGCCUUGUGACUCAGUACAGUGUGUGUUUAUGUUCACAAAAUCUGUGAUGAACUUUCAGUUGAGAAACAAGUUGUUUUAUAAAAUGUAAUAUUGUUUUCUUUACAGUAUGGCUUGACACCACUGCAACUUGCAACAUAUGAAAAUCAGACUGAAAUGAUAAACUUCUUAGAAUCAAUGAGUGCAGAUGCACAGGCCGUGCAAGUGUCAAACAGUGCAAGAACACCAGCACAUAAAAAAGAAGUGAAGCAUGUAAGAUUUUUGGAAGGUAAGAUUUUUAUAUCAUAUAUAAAUUUACUAUAUUGUAGCUGGUCUUAUUCACCCUAGAUAAAAUAGUGCGGACAUUUUAGCUCCUCUCCUACUGUGACCACACAAGGCAGCCCAGCUAGCAGAAAGGAAUCCAAAUGCAGGCAACAGAAUGAGAACCUGCCCUCACUUCAGUAAACCAGGAGUCCACAUGAAGAGCACGUGAAGCUGCACGUCUGCUACCUCUGAAUAUGGGGUCUAUGUGCAGCCCUGACGUGCUCUUUGAUAGGUGGUUCAGUCCCUGUGAGCCCUCAUGGGCCCCUGUUGGUUAAUCUGUAGGUUUUCUUGUUGUGUUUCUGAACCUUCAAUGGCACUGUCCUCCUUUGAAUUCAAUAUCCUUCCCCCAAUUCUUUCACAAGACGCCCCAACCUCCACCUGAUAUUUAUUUGGCUGUGGGUGUGUACAUCUGUUUCUAUCCAGGGCUUGAUGAAGACUCUCAGAAGAAUUAUCCAAGGCUUCUGUCUGCAAGCAUAGCAAAAUAUCAUUAAUGGAGUCAAAGACUGGCUCUCUCCCACAGGGUGGGUCUCAAGUUGGUCCAGUUAUUGGUUUGGUAUCUCCUUAAUGUCCGUUCCAUUUUAACCUGCAUAUCUUGGUGGUAGGAUAAAUUUUGGGUUGAUGUUUUUCUGAGUGCUUUGGUGUUCUCCUCAUUCUCCUGGAAGUCUCCCCUGGUACAGAAGAUGACCACUGAAAACUGCAUAUCACCUGCUGCUAGUAGGCUCUGCAAGUCUCAGCUCCAUAGAUAGACUGCUAAGAGCCCCCAUGGUUCCUGGUCUUUGUUUCACCACAGAGAUGCCUCUCCACUGGUAUCUUCUGUCCUAGCUCCCACACCACACCUGCUCUGCACCUUAGUUCCCCUCCCCAUCCUACAAAUUUCCCUCCCUCAAUCGAAUCCUGAUAUCUAUUUCAUUUUCCCUCCUGAAUGAGAUUCACGCAUCUUCCCUUGGGCCCUCAUUACUUAGCUUCUUUAGGUCUGUGCACUGUGGCCUGGUUAUUCUGUAAUUUAUGGCUGCUAAGGUCCUCACCUUUAAGUGAGUACAUUCCAUGCCUGUCCUUCUCGGUUUCAGUUACCUCAUCCAGUAUGAUGUUUGCCAAUCCCAUCCAUUUGCCUGCAGUUUUCUCAAAUUCCAUGUUUUUCAUAGCCGAGUAUUAUUUCAUUGUGCAAAUAUACCACAUUUCCUUAAUCAGUUUUUCAGUUGUCUCCUGUCCAUGGUUAUUACAAGGAGAGGUUUUAUGAACAUAGUUAAGCAAGUGUGCUUGGGUGGUAUGGUGGAGCAAGUUUGGGGUAUAUGCCCAUGAUUGACAUAGUUGUGUCUUAAGGUAAAAACUAUUUCAAAUUUUUUGGAAAAAAAACCCGCCAAAUUGCUUUUCAAAAGGGAUUUUAGGGGUUGGGAAUUUAGCUCAGUGGUAGAGCAUUUGCCUAGCAAGCGCAAGGCCCUGGGUUCGGUCCCCAGCUCUGAAAAAAAGAAAAAAAAAAAGAAAAGGGAUUUUAAUGUCUCUCCCACCAACAAUGGAGGAAUAUUCCCUUUGCUCAAUAUCCUUGUCAGCAUGGCUGUCCCUUGAGGUUUUGAUUCUGGCUGCUCUGACUGGUGUAGGAUGGACUCAGGGUCCUUCUGAUCUGCAUUCAGUGAUGACUGUAGAUGAGCAUUUGAUGUCUCUCGGCCUCCUGAGCAUCCUCGGCUGGGAAUGCUUCGUUUACCACUGUACACCAUAUUCAGAUUGGUUUAUUGCUGUCUAACUUUUUGGGCUUUUUAUAUAUUUUAACCAUUAUUUCUCUGUGAAGUGUAAGACUGAUGACGAUCUUUUCCCAAAAUGUAGGCUUCUCUUUUGUCCUUUUGAUGGUGUCCUUUGCUUUACAGAGGUUUUUAAGUUUUGUGAGUCCCCAUUUAUCAAUCGUUGAUCUCAGAGGCUGGGACAGUGGUGUGCUGUUCAGGAAAUUGUCUACUGUACCGAUGUCCUCAGUAUAUUGAAGUUUCUGCUUCAAUGUCAAGGUCUUUCAUCCACAUGAACUUGAGUUUUGUGCAGGUUGAGAAAUACAGAUCUAUUUGCAUUCUUCUUCAUGCAGACAUACAGUUACACCUGCACCAUUUGUUGAAGAAACUUUCCUAUUUUCCCCAUUGUGUGGUUUUGCCUUUGUCAAAAUCAUGUGUUGGUAGGUAUGUGUGUUUUUUCUUUGAUUUGAUUCCAUCGGUCAACUUUUUGUUUCUAUACUAAUUCUAUACAGCUUUUGUUAUGAUUGCUCUGUGAUAUGUCUUGAUAUCAGGGAUGAUGAUACCUCCAAAAAUUAUUUAAUUAUUCAAGAUAUCUAUCUAUCUAUCUAUCUAUCUAUCUAUCUAUCUAUCUAUCUAUGUAUCUAUCAUCUAUGUAUCUAUCAUCUAUCUAUCUAUCAUCUAUGUAUCUAUCAGCUAUCAUGGGUUUUUUGUUUUUUAAAAAAUUGCUCUUUCAAGGUCUGUAAAUAAUGGUCUUGCAAUUUUGAAGAGAAAUGCAUUGACUGUGAAGAUGCUUUUUGUAAGAUGGCCAUUUUCACCUUGUUAAUCCUAUCCAUCUGUAGUAUAGGAGACCUUUCCAUCUUCAGAUGUCCUGUUAAUUCCUUUUUCAGAGACAUAAAGUUUUUGACAGGCAGGUCUUUAAGUAGCUUGAUUAGAGUUGUACUGGGCUAUUUAAUGUUAUCUGUGGUUACUGUAAAGGGUUUUGCUUGACUAAAUUUUUCUUAUCCAUUUUAACUGUUGCAUGAGGAAGGGCUGCUGGUUAUUUGAGUUAAUCUUGCAUUCAGACACUUUUCUGUAAGGGUUUAUCACCUUUGGUGUAGGAGUUCUUUGGUAGAUUUUGUGAGGUCUCUUUUGUAUGUGGGCAGCUUUGCUUACUCUCUGGUUUUAAGUUUCUCUGCAUAUAAGUUGUUAGUGUUUAUUGGCUGGUUCAGGUAUGCAAAUUUGAUCACUGAGGUCUCUAAGACUUUUAACAUGAAGGGGUGCUUGAUUUUAUCAACGGCUUUAUCAGCAUCUAAUGUGAUGACCAAGUGAAUUUUUUUGACAUCUCCACCCUUGCCAGCUGCAGCUAUCCAUUCAUUUUCAUGGCUGUCAAGCCAUCUCCCCUGUAUCUCCCCAGACCCGAUCCUGAAACACUCAGUUGUCUCAAAUUUACCCACUCCCACCUAGUUCCUUCCUUCCUCUGCCUCCUCUGAGUAUUUUCCGGUAUGUUCUAAGUUAGAUUCAAAAUCCUCUCUUGGUCCUUUCUUCUUCAUCUUCUUUUGGUCCUGAGUAUAGUAUUGAUAUCCUGUACUUUAUUGCUAAUAUCCACUUAGAAGUGAGUAUACGCCAUCCAUGUCUUUUGGGUCUGGGUUAUGUCACUCAGGAAGAUAUUCUCAAGUUCUAUUCAUUCACCUGCAAAGGUCAUUAUGUCUUUGUCUUUAGUAGGUGAAUAGUAUCCCACAUUGUCUUUUUUCAUUAAAAAAAAAAAACUUCACCCUUGUCAGUUGCAGAUUUCCAUUCACUUUCAGGACCAUCCAUCCAUCUCUCCUCUUCCUUACCCACACCUGAUUCCAAACCCAUCCCAUAGCCCUCCGUAUCUCUUCUCUAUUCAGUUCACUCCCUCCGUCUUCCUCUUAGGACUGCUUUAUGCACUCCUUUAAGUGAGAUUCAGGCAUCCUCACUUGUGCAUUCCUUCUUGUGUAGCUUUUCUGAGUCUGUGGAUAAUAGCAUGGUGUCUGUAUUUUUGGCCAAUAACCAUCUAUAAGUGAGUACAUAACACACAUGUCCUGUUUGAACUCCGGAGGAUAUUCUCAAGUUCCAUUGAUUUACCUGCAAAAUUCAUUCUGCCUUUGUUUGUAAUAGUGGGAUAAUAUGCCAUUUUGAAAGUAUACAUCACUUUCUUUUUUUUAUUAACUUAUGUAUUUCUUAUUUACAUUUCAAGUGUUAUUCCUUUCCCAGUUUCCAGGCCAAAAUCUCCGUAGCCCCUCCCACUCCCCUUCUUUAUGGGUGUUCCACUCCCAUUCCUCCCCUAUUGCCGCCCUCCCCCCAACAAUCACAUUCACUGGGGGUUCAGUCUUCGCAGGACCCAGGGCUUCCCCUUCCACUGGUGCUCUUACUAGGCCAUUCAUUGCUACCUAUGAGGUCGGAGUCCAGGGUCAGUCCAUGUAUAGUCUUUAGGUAGUGGCUUAGUCCCUGGAAGCUCUGGUUGCUUGGCAUUGUUGUUCAUAUGGCAUCUCAUCCCCUUCAAUCUCUUUCAGUCCUUUCUCUGAUUCCUUCAACGGGGGUCCUGUUCUCAGUUCAGUGGUUUGCUGCUGGCAUUCACCUCUGUAUUUGUUGUAUUCUGGCUGUGUCUCUCAGGAGAGAUCUACAUCCGGCUCCAGUCUGCCUACACUUCUUUGCUUCAUCCAUAUUGUCUAAUUGGGUGGCUGUAUAUGUAUGGGCCACAUGUGGGGCAGGCUCUGAAUGGGUGUUACUUCAGUCUCUGUUUUAAUCUUUGCCUCUCUAUUCCCUGCCAUGGGCAUUCUUGUUCCCCUUUCAAAGAAGGAGUGAAGUAUUCACAUUUUGAUCAUCCAUCUUGAGUUUCAUGUGUUCUAUGCAUCUAGGGUAAUUCAAGCAUUUGGGCUAAUAUCCACUUAUCAAUGAGUGGAUACCAUAUGUGUUUUUCUGUGAUGGGUUAGCUCACUCAGGAUGAUAUUUUCCAGUUCCAACCAUUUCCCUAUGAAUUUCACAAAGGCAUUGUUUUUGAUAGCUGAGUAAUAUUCCAUUGUGUAGAUGUACCACAUUUUCUGUAUCCAUUCCUCUGUUGAAGGGCAUCUGGGUUCUUUCCAGCUUCUGGCUAUUAUAAAUAAGGCUGCUAUGAACGUAGUGGAGCACGUGUCUUUUUUAUAGGUUGGGGCAUCUUUUGGGUAUAUGCCCAAGAGAGGUAUAGCUGGAUCCUCAGGCAGUUCAAUGUCCAAUUUUCUGAGGAUCCUCCAGACUGAUUUCCAGAUUGGUUGUACCAGUCGGCAAUCCCACCAACAAUGGAGGAGUGUUCCUCUUUCUCUGCAUCCUUGCCAGCAUCUGCUGUCACCUGACUUUUUGAUCUUAGCCAUUCUCACUGGUGUGAGGUGAAAUCUCAGGGUUGUUUUGAUUUGCAUUUCCAUUAUGACUAAAGAUGUUGAGCAUUUCUUUAGGUGUUUCUCAGCCAUUCGGCAUUCCUCAGCUGUGAAUUCUUUGUUUAGCUCUGAACCCCAUUUUUUAAUAGGGUUAUUUGUCUCCCUUCGGUCUAACUUCUUGAGUUCUUUGUUUAUUUUGGAUAUAAGGCCUCUAUCUGUUGUAGGAUUGGUAAAGAUCUUUUCCCAAUCUGUUGGUUGCCGAUUUGUCGAACCACAGUGUCCUUUGCCUUACAGAAGCUUUGCAGUUUUAUGAGAUCCCAUUUGUCGAUUCUUGAUCUUAGAGCAUAAGCCAUUGGUGUUUUGUUCAGGAAAUUUUUUCCAGUGCCCAUGUGUUCCAGAUGCUUCCCUAGUUUUUCUUCUAUUAGUUUGAGUGUGUCUGGUUUGAUGUGGAGGUCCUUGAUCCACUUGGACUUAAACUUUGUACAGGGUGAUAAGCAUGGAUCAAUCUGCAUUCUUCUACAUGUUGACCUCCAGUUCAACCAGCACCAUUUGCUGAAAAUGCUAUCUUUUUUCCAUUGGAUGGUUUUGGCUCCUUUGUCAAAAAUCAAGUGACCAUAGGUGUGUGGGUUCAUUUCUGGGUCUUCAAUUCUAUUCCUUUGGUCUAUCUGUCUGUCUGUGUACCAAUACCAUGCAGUUUUUAUCAGUAUUGCUCUGUAAUACUGCUUGAGUUCAGGGAUAGUGAUUCCCCCUGAAGUCCUUUUAUUGUUGAGGAUAGCUUUAGCUAUCCUGGGUUUUUGGUUAUUCCAGAUGAAUUUGCAAAUUGUUCUGUCUAACUCUUUGAAGAAUUGGAUUGUUAUUUUGAUGGGGAUUGCAUUGAAUCUGUAGAUCGCUUUUGGUAAGAUGACCAUUUUUACUAUAUUAAUCCUGCCAAUCCAUGAGCAUGGGAGAUCUUUCCAUCUUCUGAGGUCUUCUUCAAUUUCUUUCUUCAGAGUCUUGAAGUUCUUAUUGUACAGAUCUUUUACUUGCUUGGUUAAAGUCACGCCGAGGUACUUUAUAUUAUUUGGGUCUAUUAUGAAGGGUGUCGUUUCCCUAAUUUCUUUCUCAGUUGUUUCUCUUUUGUGUAGAGGAAGGCUACUGAUUUAUUUGAGUUAAUUUUAUGUCCAGCCACUUUACUGAAGUUGUUUAUUAGCUUUAGUAGUUCUCUGGUGGAACUUUUGGGAUCACUUAAAUGUACUAUCAUAUCAUCUGCAAAUAGUGAUAUUUUGACUUCUUCUAUUCCAAUCUGUAUCCCCUUGACCUCCUUUUGUUGUCUGAUUGCUCUGGCUAGAACUUCAAGAACUGUAUUGAAUAAGUAGGGAGAGAGUGGGCAGCCUUGUCUAGUCCCUGAUUUUAGUGGGAUUGCUUCAAGUUUCUCUCCACUUAUUUUAAUGUUAGCAAUUGGUUUGCUGUAUAUGGCUUUUACUAUGUUUAGGUAUGGGCCUUGAAUACCUUUCUUUCCAGGACUUUUAUCAUGAAGGGGUGUUGAAUUUUGUCAAAUGCUUUCUCAGCAUCUAAUGAAAUGAUCAUGUGGUUCUGUUCUUUCAGUUUGUUUAUAUGAUGGAUCACGUUGAUGGUUUUCCGUAUAUUAAACCAUCCCUGCAUGCCUGGGAUGAAGCCUACUUGAUCAUGGUGGAUGAUUGUUUUGAUGUGCUCUUGGAUUUGGUUUGCCAGAAUUUUAUUGAGUAUUUUUGCGUCUAUAUUCAUAAGGGAAAUUGGUCUAAGUUCUCUUUCUGUGUUGGGUCUGUGUGUGGUUUGGGUAUAAGAGUAAUUGUGGCUUCAUAGAAGGAAUUUGGUAGUGCUCCAUCUGUUUUAAUUUUGUGGAAUAGUUUGGAUAGUAUUGGUAUGAGGCCUUCUAUGAAGGUCUGAUAGAAUUCUGCACUGAACCCGUCUGGACCUGGGCUCUUUUUUGUUGGGAGACCUUUAAUGACUGCUACUAUUUCCUUAGGAGUUAUGGGGUUGUUUAACUGGUUUAUCUGUUCCUGAUUUAACUUCGGUACCUGGUAUCUGUCUAGCAAAUUGUCCAUUUCCUGCAGAUUUUCAAGUUUUGUUGAACGUAGGCUUUUAUAGUAAGAUCUGAUGAUUUUUUGAAUUUCGUCUGAAUCUGUAGUUAUGUCUCCCUUUUCAUUUCUGAUUUUGUUAAUUUGGAAACACUCUCUGUGUCCUCUAGUUGGUCUGGCUAAGGGUUUAUCUAUCUUAAUGAUUGUCUCAAAGAACCAUCUUUUGGUUCUGUUGAUUCUUUCUAUGGUCCAUUUGUUUCUACUUGGCUGAUUUCAGCUCUGAGUUUGAUUAUUUCCUGCCUUCUACUCCUCCUGGGUGUAUUUGCUUCUUUUUGUUCUAGAGCUUUUAGGUGUGCUGUCAAGCUGGUGACAUAUGCUGUUUCCUGUUUCUUUCUGCAGGCACUCAGAGCUAUGGGUUUUCCUCUUAGCACAGCUUUCAUUGUGUCCCAUAAGUUUGGGUAUGUUGUACCUUCGAUUUCAUUAAAUCUAAGAAGUCUCUAUUUUCUUUCUUUAUUUCUUCCUUAACUAGGUUAUCAUUGAGUAGAGCAUUGUUCAACUUCCACGUAUAUGUGGGCAUUCUUCCAUUAUUGUUAUUGAAGACCAGAUUUAGGCCGUGGUCGUCUGAUAGCACCCAUGGGAUUAUUUCUAUCUUUCUGUACCUGUUGAGGCCUGUUUUUUGACCAAAUAUAUGGUCAAUUUUGGAGAAAGUACCAUGAGGACCUGAGAAGAAUGUAUAUCCUUUUGCUUUAGGAUAGAAUGUUCUAUAAAUAUCUGUUAAGUCUAUUUGGUUCAUGAUUUCUCUUAGUCUGUCUACGUCUCUGUUUAAUUAGUGUUUCCAUGAUCUGUCCAUUGAUGAGAGUGGGGUGUGGAAAUCUCCUACUAUUAUUGUGUGAGGUGCAAUGUGUGUUUUGAGCUUUAGUAAGGUUUCCUUUACGUAUGUAGGUGCCCUUGUAUUUGGGGCAUAGAUAUUUAGGAUUGAGAGUUCAUCUUGGUGGAUUUUUCCUUUGAUGAAUAUGAAGUGUCCUUCCUUAUCUUUUUUGAUGACGUUUAGUUGGAAAUUGAUUUUAUUUGAUAUUAGAAUGGCUACUCCAGCUUGCUUCUUCAGACCAUUUGCUUGGAAAGUUGAUUUCCAGCCUUUCACUCUGAGGUAGAGUCUGUCUUUGUCUCUGAGGUGUGUUUCCUGUAGGGAAUGCAGGGUCCUCAUUGCAUAUCCAGUGUGUUAAUCUGUGUAUUUUUAUUGGGGAGUUGAGGCCAUUGAUGUUGAGAGAUAUUCAGGAAUAGUGAUUAUUGCUUCCUGUUAUGUUCAUAUUUGGAUGUGAGGUUAUGUUUGUGUGCUUUUCUUCUUUUUGUUUUGUUUCCAAGACGAUUUGUUUCUUGCUUUUUCUAGGGUGUAGCUUGCCUUCUUAUGUUGGCCUUUACCAUUUAUUAUCCUUUGUAGUGCUGGAUUUGUAGAAAGAUAUUGUGUAAAUUUGGUUUUGUCCUGGAAUAUCUUGGUUUCUCCAUCUAUGUUAAUUGAGAGUUUUGCAGGAUAAAGUAACCUGGGCUGGCAUUUGUGUUCUCUUAAGGUCUGUAGGCCAUCUGUCCAGGACCUUUUGGCUUUCACAGUUUCUGGUGUGAUUCUGAUAGGUCUGCCUUUAUGUUACUUGACCUUUUUCCCUUACUGCUUUUAAUAUUCUUUAUUUUGUGUGUUUGAUCUUUUGACUAUUAUGUGACGGGAGCUGUUUCUUUUCUGGUCCAAUCUAUUUGGAGUUCUCUAGGCUUCGUGUAUGCUUAUGGGUAUCUCUUCCUUUAGGUUAGGGAAGUUUUCUUCUAUGAUUUUGUUGAAGAUAUUUACUGGUCCUUUGAGCUGGGAGUCUUCACUCUCUUCUAUACCUAUAUCCUUAGGUUUGAUCUUCUCAUUGAAUCCUGGAUUUCCUGUAUGUUUUGGACCAGUAGCUUUUUCUGCUUUACAUUAUCUUUCACAGUUGAGUCGAUAGUUUUCUAUAGAAUCUUCUGCUCCUGAGAUUCUCUCUUCUAUCUCUUGUAUUCUGUUGGUGAAGCUCGUAUCUACAGCUCCUUGUCUCUUCUUUUGGUUUUCUAUAUUCAGGGUUGUUUCCAUGUGUUCUUUCUUGAUUGAUUCUAUUUCCAUUUUUAAUUCCUUCAAGUGUUUGUGUUUUCCUGGAAUCCUUUCAGGGAUUUUUGUGAUUCCUCUCUGUAGGCUUCUACUUGUUUAUGUUUUCCUGCGUUUCUCUAAGGGAGUUCUUCAUGUCUUUCUUGAAGUCCUCCAGCAUCGAUCAAAUAUGAUUUUGAAACUAGAUCUUGCUUUUCUGGUGUGUUUGGAUAUUCCGUGUUUGCUUUGGUUGGAGAAUUGGGAUCCGAUGAUGUCAUGUAGUCUUGGUUUCUGUUGCUAGGGUUCCUGUGCUUGCCUCUCGCCAUCAGAUUAUCUCUAGUGUUUCUUUGUUCUGCUAUUUCUGACAGUGGCUAGACUGUCCUAUAAGCCUGUGUGUCAGGAGUGCUGUAGACCUGUUUUCCUGUUUUCUUUCAGCCAGUUAUGGGAACAGAGUGUUCUGCUUUGGGGCGUGUAGUUUUUCCUAUCUACAGGUCUUCAGCUGUUCCUGUGGGCCUGUGCCCUGAAUUCACCAGGCAGGUCACCUGGAGCAGAAAAGUUGGUCUUACCUGUGGUCCCAAGGCUCAAGAUUGCUCGUGGGGUGUUGCUAAUGAUCUCUCCUCAGGGGCAGCAACCAGGCGGACCUGCGCUGCCCUUUCCGGGAGCCCCCCGUGCACCAGAGUCCCAGAUGGCGUUUGGUGUUUUCCUCUGGAGUCAGAGAUGUGGGCAGAGUGCAGUCUCUUCUGGUUUACCAGUCGUGUCUGCCUCUCUGACGGUUUAGCUCUCCCUCUCCCAGGAUUUGGGUGCAGAGAACCGUUUAUCUGGCUGGUCCCUUCAGGUUCCUGCGGUGUCUCAGACGCAGUGGACCUGCUGCUCCUGUGCCCUUAUCUACGGGAACCCAGAGACCGUUUCCUCUUGGGCCAGGGAUAUGGGCAGGGGUGGGCAGUGUUGGUGGUCUCUUCUGCUCUGCAGUCUCAGGAGUGCCCACCUGUCCGGGCGGUGAGCUCUGUCUCCCACGGGGUUUGGGAGCAGUGAGCUGGAGGCAGGGAGCACGAGAUUCGGACUCCCGCUAAAAACUGGAAGUGUCCGGUCCUCCCACGGGGUUUGGGAGCCAUACAUCACUUUCUUUAUUCAUUGUUCAGUAGAGGCACAUCCAGGUUGUUUCCAGAUUCUGGUUAGUAUGAACAAAGCUACUAUGAACAUAGUUUGACAAGUGGUUCUUUGGUACAGUGUGACAUCUUUAUGACUACACACCCAGGAGCGUUAUAGCUGGCCCUUGAGGUAGAACAGUUUUUUUCUCUCAGUUUUGUGAGAAACCACCCAAUUGAUUUCCAAAGUUGUUGUUCAAAGUUUCACGUCCAUCAGUGAUGGAUUAGUGUUCCCUUUGCUCCACAACCUGCCAGCAUUCACUCUCACUUGAGUUUUUCAUCUUUGCUUUUGUGAUGGGUGUCAAAUGACAUGUCAGAGUGGUUUUGAGUAAGCAGCUCUUGGUUUUGUUCAUUCUUUGUAUUGUUUCCCAUGUUUCUAUGUUUAAUUUUCAUACCAUCUUCUCUUGAGCGUGUAUGCUUCUGUUUUUAUUUUUAAUAUUGCAUAUGUGCUGAUUAGCUGCUAUUAUGAAAUCUCUCCAUUUCUUUUGAAGGGACAUAGUGUUAUGAACUUUCCUUUUGCACUGCUUUUAUUGUGUUCCCUAAGUUUGUAUGAUUUGUGCCUUCACUUUCAUUGAAUUCUAGAAAGACUUUUCUUCUUUCAACAGUGGUCACUUAGCAUAGAGUUGUUCAGUUUCCAUGAGAUUGUAGGCUUUCCAUUGUUUUUGUUGUUGACAUAGUCCAACUUUAGUCCAUGGUGACCUUAUCAGACACAAAAGCAUUUUGGUGUUCUUUUGUUGUUGUUGUUUUUGUAUUUUCUUGUAUCUGUUGUAGAUCUGUAUCUGUACAUGUUCAAUUUUGGAGAAGGUUCCAUGAGGUGCUGAGAAGAUACAUAUUUUUUUAUUUGAGUGACAGCUUCUAUAGAUAUAUGUUGUUGUAAAAAUAUUAAAAUAAAAAAGUAAAAGUUGUCUUUUACCCCGCUAGGUCCGCACCUCGGUGCCCCAAGAUAUCUGCUAGAUAUCUUGGCGGAAACACAGCCCAGCCGCACAUUUUCCUACACUCAAACCCUCACAUAAAAGAACACACAACACAAUAAUCUUUGAUCCAAUUGGUAAGGUAUAGUUGCCACUUAAACAUACAAGGCCUGGUACCAUCCAUCCCUUAGGAAGAUUGAUAACAACCUGUAAAUACACAGAGCAGAAUCUUAACAUCACCUGCCAUGGCUCCUCCCCCCUCUCUCUCCUCUUCUCUGUGUUAAUCCCCUUCUCUUCCUUCAAGCUUCUCUCCUGCCCAUCCUUGCUUCUCCUCCAGUGUCAGGUCUCCUACUAUCCUGUACCUGCCCCUCACCUGUAUUUUACAAAUUCAAUGGGGAGGUGGUUCUGGUGAAGUCAUCUGAGUUCUGAGUAUGUGACUAGGCAGCUGUCCUUGGGGCAGUGGAAUUAGCAUCAAAAUACAGAAACUUCAGGGCAAACCACCACAGAUAUCUGUUAGGUCCAUUUGAUUCAUGUCAUCUACUAGUUGCAUUACAUUUCAGUUUAGUUUCUCUUUUGGUGACAUGCCUGUUGGUCAUUAACGUGAUAAUAUGUAGGUGAUGUCCCCUACUAUUAAUGUGUGGAAUUGGAGGUGUGGUUUAAGCUUUAACAAAAUUAGUAAAUGUUUCUUUUGUAAAGGAGGAUGCACUUGUAUCGCAAGCAUUGAUGUUUAGAAUUGAAGCACCAUCUUGUUGGAUUUUCCUUUGAUUUAUAUGCAGUGUCCUUUCCCAUCUCUUUUAAUUAUUUCUCAUUGAAAGUCUAUUUUACCAGAUAUUAGAUUGGCUGCUGCAGCUUGACUCUUGGGUCCAUUUGCUUUACAGACCUUUUGUCCAGUCCUUUAUUCUGUGGCAGUGAUUAUCUUUGUGGCUGAGUUGCAUUUCUAUAUGCAACAGAAGCAUAGAUUCUGUUUAUGCAUCUACUCUCUUAGACUAUGUCUUUUUAUUUGGUAAGUGAAUCUGUUCCUGUUCAGAGAUAUUAAUAAUUAAUGAUUGCUUUUACUUGGUAUUUUGAUUUUGGUUUGCAUGUGUUUCUCUUGGUUGGUUUUACUAUGCGAUUAUUAGUUUCUCGUGUUUCAUUGAGUUCAGUUACUCUCCUUGUCUUGGAGUUUUGCUUGUAGCAUCCUGAUUAGUGAUGGGUUAGUAGAAAGAUAUAGUUUGCGUUUGGUUUUGUCACAGAAUAGCUUUUUACUCCAUCUUGAGUAAAAUUGAUUGAAAAUUUUGCUAAGUAUUGUAGUCUGGGCUGACAGCUAUAGUCUCUUAGGGUCUGUAAGACAUCUCUCUGGCUCUUCUGGCUUUUAAUUCUCUGUUGAGAAGUUUGGUAUAAUUCUGAUUGUUCUGUCUUUAUAUGUAAUAUGUUACUUGCCUCUUUCUCCUUGUGGCUUUUUAAUUUUCUCUCUUUGUUUUGGGGAUUUAAUGUUUUGGUUAUUAUGUAGCUGGAGGAUUUAUUUUCUGACACAGUAAACUCUUAUUUGUACUGUAAGCUUCUUGUGUGUAUGUAGGCAUCUUUUUCUUGAGGUUUGGGAUGUUUUCUUCUAUGAUGUUGUUGAAGAUAUUUUCUGGGCCUUUCAUCUGGGAAUCUUCUUCUCCUGUUCCUAUUUUUCUUAAGUUUGGCCCUGAUUCCACAUCCAGCCUAUCAGGCUGUGCCUUUUUAAUGGGGAAGAUGAGUUCACUGAUAUUGAGAGAUAUUAACAACAAAUGAGUGUUAAUUCCUGCCAUUCUCAUUUUGUGAAUGAGUGAUUAUUAUUUAUUUUUGUUAACACCAAUCAAUUUGGUGUUCUGUAAGGUUCCUCUAAGUUUAUAGGCAUUCUUCCUUUAUGUUGUAUAAAUUUCCUUCUAUGAUUUUGUUGAACAUGUGUUCUCAUCUUUGGAGCUGGUACUCUCUUCACUUUUGAACAAUUCCUAUUAUCCUUAGUACAAAAUUUCACAGUGUCUCAGACUACCUGAAUAUUUUGAGUCAGUAACUUUUUAGGUGAUAUUUUCUUUGGUUGACGUAUUAAUUUCUUUGAGUAUAUCAUGUAUGCCUGAGAUCAUCUCUUCCAAUUCUUUUAUUGUGUUGGCUGUGCUUCUGUUCUUGUUCUCUUUUGGAGUAUUUCUGUCUCCAAGGUUCCAUCAUUUUGGGUUGCCUUUAUUGCUUCUUUAAUCAUUUGCAGGUGUUGACAUAUUUUAUUCAUUUUGCUCACCUGUUUGAUUGUAUUUUCCUGUAUAUUUUAAGGGAUUUGAUAAUUUCUCCUUUAAAUUCCUCUAUCAUAUUCAUAAGAUUGGAUUCAAUGUCAUUUUAUUGUGUUUUGAUUUUAUUCGCAUAUCCAGGUCUUGAUGUAGUAGGAUAGCUGGGCUCCAGGUGUGUUAUAUUGUUUUGUUCUUGUUGAGUGUAUUCUCAUGCUGGCCUUUAGCCAACUCUUUAUCCAUGGGUGUUUACUGGUGCAAGAGUCAUGAAGUGGGCUCUGGGUUUUUCUCUUUUUAGGGGUUAGGUUAAGAUAUGGUCUCACUAAAUUGUAGCUUUCUUUGUCUAAGGAAUCACAGUGAUCCAUAUGCUUUUGCUUCCUCAGUGUUGGGAUUCAUGUUGUGCGCCACCAGACCCAAUCUGUUAUUCUUUCAAGAAUCAUUAGCCCAGAGUAAAAGGAAUCACAGUUGAUUGUUUUUAUACUGGUAAGGAUUGGGUUUUCUGUCAUUCUGAGAGAGUUCAGUUAGGAUCAUCACAAUUGUUCACGGGUAUUUAUUUCUAGACAUUGAUGUUUGAUAAAUUACUGCCAUCUUUGAUUUGAAAUAUACAGGGAAUGGAUUGGUUCUAAGUGACGUAAUUGGCUACAAAUGAAUAUUUACUCUAGAGUACUCAAUAGAUUGUUCUCAUAGACAUUGAUACUAAAAAUGAGUUUCAUAAUUUUAUUUGUAAUAUUCUUCUAUACUUGUAAUAAUACACAUUUUGUUUUUAUUUUCAGAAGUCUUGUUUUUUAAAGAUGAAAGGCCUUUGUCCUGGUAAGGCUUAACAGUACAUUAGUACUAGAGGAGUGCAAAGAUAAAAAGCAAAUUCUUUUUGGGUAUACUUUGAGACUUGUGUCUUACAGGUCCCACAGUAUUCUGAAUAUAAUUUUAGCCUAAAAUUUGUUCAGUGUACUUUAUAUGAAUGUGAAAAGUAUGCUCACAAGUAUGCCAUUUCCAAGAAAAAACUAUGCAGUUUUUAAAAAGAGCCUGCUAGGAUUAACUCUGCAAGUUAAUGUCCACUUAAGAUUCUUCAGCUUUUCAAAGCCUUACUAAAUUGUAUUUGUGGACUAAGACCCACACUCAUAGUUAUCAUUUCAGGCAUUCAUCUCUCUGACACGGUACAUAAUGUGGGAUGAUUCUCAGUUGUCAGUCAUUACUACAAGAUGGCAACCAUUUCUUUCCUCCUUUGACACCAGCUAUGAAGGCAAAGGAACUUUUUGUCAGGUGUAGCAUAUAUCAUAUAUCUUAGAAGAAACGCAUGAGUUGCAGUCCAUCCAAUGAAAGGCUGAGAUUCCAUGAAGGUGGAUAUUAACAUUUCUCACUUUACAUUUAUAGGUUGUUAUGGCUAUUCUUAAGGGAUGGAUAUAUACUGGUUUGUGUGUGUCUAGAUGAACUAACUAUAUCUUACCUAAGUGGGUGGUUUAUGUCCUUAUCAAUUGGUUGUAAGUUGAUUGUGCAAAUGUAUUGUUCAUUAAGUAAUUAACAUAUGACUGUGGGUUACAGUUGCUGGGUUACAGUUUGUUGAGUCAUGACUUCACUGGAUUGUUGGGAGUGUGAGAAGAGUCUGUGACAGGAAGCGGUGCUAGGCUAUGGAAUGCUUGGGGCUAGCUUGGCAUGUGGCCACACUAGCAUGGCCCACAGAACAACCCGCUAUGGAGACAGUGUGUGAAAAUGGAUGACAGAGAAACAUCUAGAGCAUGUGAUUGCACCUGGCAUGGGAACUCAUGGGAACCAGUCAUUCACCU